UACGAAGGGGCUAGCGUUGUUCGGAAUUACUGGGCGUAAAGCGUGCGCAGGCGGCUUCUCAAGUCAGGGGUGAAAGCCCAGAGCUCAACUCUGGAAUUGCCUUUGAGACUGAGUGGCUUGAGUACGAGAGAGGUGAGUGGAAUUCCCAGUGUAGAGGUGAAAUGCGUGAGAUAUCAGGAGGAACACCCAUGGCGGAAGGCAGCUCCCUGGCUCGACCCUGACGCUGAGGCGCGAAAGCGUGGGGAGCGAACGGG
rnacentral:rRNA from 1 species